rnacentral:rRNA from 1 species
UACGUAGGGUGCAAGCGUUAAUCGGAAUUACUGGGCGUAAAGCGUGCGCAGGCGGUUUUCUAAGUCUGACGUGAAAUCCCCGGGCUCAACCUGGGAAUUGCGUUGGAGACUGCAAGGCUAGAAUCUGGCAGAGGGGGGUAGAAUUCCACGUGUAGCAGUGAAAUGCGUAGAGAUGUGGAGGAACACCGAUGGCGAAGGCAGCCCCCUGGGUCAAGAUUGACGCUCAUGCACGAAAGCGUGGGGAGCAAACAGG